rnacentral:rRNA from 1 species
GAUGAACGCUAGCUACAGGCUUAACACAUGCAAGUCGAGGGGUAACGAGAGGAAAGCUUGCUUUCCUUGUCGACGACCGGCGCACGGGUGAGUAACGCGUAUCCAACCUGCCCCCAACUAGGGAAUAACCUUGCGAAAGUAAGACUAAUACCCUAUAAUUUCCUCAGAUGUCAUCUGACGAGGAAUAAAGAUUUAUCGGUUGUGGAUGGGGAUGCGUCUGAUUAGCUUGUUGGCGGGGUAACGGCCCACCAAGGCAACGAUCAGUAGGGGUUCUGAGAGGAAGGUCCCGCGCAUUCGAACUGAGACACGGUCCAAACUCCUACGGGAGGCAGCAGUGAGGAAUAUUGGUGAAUGGGCUGAAGCCUGAACCAGCCAAGUAGCGUGCAGGAUGACGGCCCUAUGGGUUGUAAACUGCUUUUAUACAGGAAUAAAGUUAGCCACGUGUGGUUAUUUGUAGGUACUGUAUGAAUAAGGACCGGCUAAUUCCGUGCCAGCCGCCGCGGUAA